GCGUGAAGAAGCAGUGAACACUGAAGAUGGCGAUUAUUAUUCUUGUCGAACGUGCUGAUAAUAGUAAUUGUCUGUGAUUUGUGUGUUUGAUAAUUAUUUAAUUAAUGGUUCAUUCUCAUUAUUUGCUAAUGUGGUUUGUCAUUUUACCUCGGACAAAUUUAUAUCCGUCUGCAUUACGUCUAUCCUGAGUUCAAGCUAGUCACUGUUAUAUAGGGACAAAAUGGACAUUCCGUUGCCCGAUGAUCUACCCCCGCUUCCACCGGACUGCACCCUAUCGGUGCCCAAAUCAGAGCUGGUGCAACUGGUGACCAAGUGCCCCCCUCCGCCCUUCAUGAUGGCCACACCACCCCCCUCCUGUCCUCCUCCUUCUCUUCCCCCUACUUGUCCUCCUCCUUCUCUUCCCCCUACCUGUCCACCCCCUUCUCUUCCACCUACCUGUCCACCCCCUUCUCUUCCCCCUACCUGUCCACCCCCUUCUCUACCCCCUACUUGUCCUCCACCUUCUCUUCCACCUACCUGUCCUCCUCCAUCUCAUCCCCCCACCUGUCCACCCCCUUCUCUCCCCCCUACCUUUCCUCCUCCUUCUCUUCCCCCCUCCUGUCCUCCUCCUUCUCUUCCCCCCUCCUGUCCUCCUCCUUCUCUUCCCCCUACCAACCGUCCCCCCACUCUGCCUCCUACUUUGCCUCCUAAUUUGCCUCCUUCUCUACCCCCUACUCUACCCCCUUCUUUGCCUCCUAAUUUACCCCCCACUUUGUCCUUCAGCUACAUGAAUACGCCGCCUCCCCCAAUCGCUCGCUCUACACCAUCUACCACCAUGCCCGCACCUGAUAUACCCAUGCCCGAGGAUCCUAACAGAUACUCUCCAAGCCUCCCGAUGGACGACGACCCACCCCCUUCCUCCUCGUCGUCAACACCCCCCAGCCAGCCCCCUCUGCCUUCUACGUCGCCCCCUCCCGCCCUGCCGCGGUCUAUAGUGCUGGGCAAGACUCAGGCCAAGAAGCGGCUGCUGGCCUUCUCCAUGACCAAGAUGGGCGGCGCUCAGGGUCUCUCGUUCAACCUCCCCAAAAAGCCCACCGCCCUCAAAGAUGCCGCCAAGGCGUUUCCGGGUGCUGCCGGCGCCGAAGAGCCCAAGAAGAAGCCCAAGAAAGUGCCUCAAGACAAAGCGAGGAACACAAUAAGUGAGAUAGAGGAGUUGAAGCGAAUGGAGAUGGAAGACCCUCGCUUGAUGCACAGAUUGCACCAGGGCUAUACCGGGGUGUCCACGCUGGUCAUCACAGUCCCUGAACCGCUAAAUGAAGGAGAAAAAGCAAACAGAGCGGAUUUGCCAGUUGACGAGCUUAUGCUGCGAAACCAGGGAAGGAGGAGGACAUACAACGAAGAUGACGAACUGGAAAGGCGGAGAAGGAGAGAGAAAGAAGAUAGGGAGAAGAAGAAGCGAAAGGAGAAGGUGCUGCCGAAUAACUGGGCCGAGUUCUCCAAGAACAAGCACAAGGUGUAUUAUUUCCGAAAGUACAAGAUUGAUGUCGAGAAGCAGGAGCGAGAGAAGACGCGGGGCAGUAGGCGGAGAUCGAGAGAGAGAAGGAGUCGGUCGAGAGAAGGCGACCGUAAGCGCGGCGACAAGAAGGGUGGUGGCUCGAAGAGACAGAACCUGCUGGACACCCCGCCAGUGUUGAAGAAGCCGCUGCUCGCCACCAAGGCGCACUGGAAGCCGGGCGAAGUUGACGCCGAGUUUCCGGCGCAUCACGUCUGCUUCAGUCGCGUCAAGCCGUCGAUCUCCUUCUGCGAAAAUCCGCGUCGCUCCACGCGUCACCUGCAGAGUCGCGAAGCUAUGCUGGCCACUGUUCCUGCCGAUGUCGAAGCCGUCAUACUUGGCUUCCUUAACGCCAUUCAGCCCAAACGACUCAAAUCCAAACCGGACGUCAACAUGGAGGUGAACAGCGAAAAAGAAAAUAACGGGGAAAAGGAGACCGAAGAAGAUGGCGGAAAAGAAGAGGAAGAAAUAGUGGAAUACACGGAGGAGGUCGAAGUGGAAGUAACCGAUGAUGAAGAGGAAGAAGAACCAGAAAAAGGGGUGAAAAAAGAAUCAAUGGAGUUGGGAUGCUCCAGUGAUUUACCAAAAACAGAACCGCUUGCGAAUGGCGAUGAUGAUGAUGAUGAAGAAUGGUUCAGAGGAUUCGAAGAUGUUGAUAAAGGAACGACAACCAAUGAUAUUGGAUUGAAUAGUCCUCCUAUUAAGAAGGAGAAGGAGAAAGAGGACAGUGCGAUAAUGGAGACUAGUAUCAAAAAAGAGAUGGGAGAAAAUCCACCUAUCAAAGAAGAACCAAUGCCAAAGAAAAAGAAAGUGAAACUCGAAAAGAGACUAGUUACUAAGACAAAAACUAUCAUCAAAUCCAAACCUUGUUUCAAGCCUCAUAGGAAUUGGUAUAGUAUUGAUGUUGUCUUUCAACCUGAUUCUGAAUCUGUAGGCGCUAUUGAAGAUUUUGAAGUCGAUCUAGAAGAACUGAAGGAAAUUCAAGCUCAGCAGGCGCAGCAAGUGGUGGCGGCGAGUGAACAAGUAGAAAAGGAGAACGAAGAGUUGGAGAAUGAAGAGGAGAUGGCUGAAGAACCAAUGGGUGAAGAGGAAACAAAAAAGUUCCUCCCAGUUGUAGAAGCCAGCAAGCCAAAGUCGAAAAAGAGCAGGAAGCGGAUUAAAUUGAACGAAUACGAAGAUUCCAGGGAUUUCGAAGAGGAAAAAAGGGACGUGAAGAAGAAGGAUCGAGAAGGAAAGAGGAAAUCCUCUGAAACAGAAAUUCGUGUUCGCUCAAAGUGGGACAGUGACUACGAGGAGGAAACUAGCCAGAAUGACAGUCAGACAAGGAAGGAAGAUGAGGAGGUUAAAAGGGAGUUGGAAAAGGAGAGCAACCCGGAUCGCCAUCGGUGGAACGAAGAAGCGGCAGAAGAAAAACAAGAAGAUAACUAUUAUUACAACAAUUGGAAUGAGAAUGAUAACUCCCAUCAUCAUCAUCAACAAAUAGAGGACUCGUUCGAUGGAAGGAUGGACGAGGAUAAUAGCAGUAAUAUCGAAUUGGAGAAAGAAAGUAUCUACUACAAGGAUACCAACAAAAACGGUACUGAAAACUAUGAUCACGACGACAAUGAUAUCAACGAUGAAGAGGAAUCGACAGCUGUCCCCAUGGAAAUCGAUGAAGAAGAGUCCAAUACAAAAGAUUCAGCGUCAGUAGAUUCGGGCUCCAAGGUGAGGAUGGCCGAAAUGGGGGAGAAACUGGCUUCCGAGUACGAGGAAUUCCUGAAGAUGGUCAGCUUCGAAGCCGAGGCAAAGCGAGAUGGAUCGAAUUCGGGUUCGGUGAGAUCGAGCGAGAAGGAGAGACGAGUUCUGUCGGAUAAGAACAGGAUGGAGGACAACGUCACACCUCCCCCAUCUGACGCCUUGACCAAGUCAUCGUCACCCUGGGAAGAAGAUGACCCCAGUAAACACAACUCAUCAGGUGCUGUCGAAACACACGACCUGACUGUCGACAAAGAGAACAAAUCUAGGACGGAGGAGGAGGAGGAGGAGGUUGUAGAGGGAGUAAUUGUUGAGAAGGAGGAGAACGAACUAGAGUGGGAGGGGAAGGAUAUGACCAAAAAGAAGAAGAAAAAGAAGGAUGGUAAAGAGAAGAAAGCGUCAAAGAAAAGUAAGAAGAAGGUGAUAUCGACGAAAGCGAAGAAAAACAAGAAAGAUAAGAAACGUGGACGUAAAAGGAAACGCAGUUCAUCUAGUAGCUCAGCCAGUAGCUCUGAUUCAUCAUCGGAAGAUUCUGAUAGUUCAAGCAGUAGCAGCAGCAGCAGCAGUAGUGAUGACAGUGAUAGCGAUAGUGAUAGCUCCUCUUCCAGUGAUAGUAGUUCUUCUUCUUCUAGUGACGACAGCUCGGUGGAUCGCAAAAAGGCCAAGAGAAAGAAGAGAGACAAAAAGAAGAAGCAGAAGGAGAAGAAGAAGCGUAAGAAGAAGAAGAAGGCAGCCAAGUCGAAGCCAACAUCCAGUGAAGAUGAGGACGAGAAUGACGACAGCGGUAAUGACAAGAAGAAAAAGAGAAAAGAGAAGAAAAACUCAAAGUCGAAAAAGAAGAGUUCUCAUAAAGACUCGAAACAUUCGCCCAAAAGUAAAAAGUCGAAACGUUCCAAGCAAGAGAAGAAAAAGAGUAAAGACGUCGAUAAAGAAGAAGAAGUAGUAGAUCCAGCGGUUAUUGAUAGUUUGAUGGUCGCCUAUCAAGAGCCACAGGAAGAAGACCAAAAUACCAAGAAGAGUAAGAGAAAGAAGAGAAGUAAAAAAGAAAUGGUUGAAGAGGAAGUGUCAGUGUUAUUGGAAGGAGAACUUGCGCCAGAUUUUCUGAAUGUUGAACUGAUGAAUCCAGAUCUGGGCAGCCACACUACUAGCAGCAAAAAGAAGAAAUCAAAGAAGAAGUCGAGGAAAAGAGAAAAACGUAAUCGUGAUGAAAUUGGGGAAGUAACGGGAGAUGUGGAUCAAUCUGAAUCAAAAUCACGUCGCAAAAAGAAGAGCAAGAAGAAGUCGAAACGUUCAAGUGAAGUAAAUCCAAGUUUUGAAUAUGGCAGUGAGAAUAGAAGGCUGAAAGAAGAAUUAAUUUUCGGCUGUUUGGAAUCUGCAAAAUUUAAUACAGAUACCGAGAUUAUUGCUUCAAAAAGUUUCGAAGCUUUAUCGAAAACUGACGCUUUGGAUCAUAGAUUCUCCAAACGUGAGACAAAGUUACUGAGGAAGCAAUCUCUAGAAAACAUGGGAUACCUCGAAUCCAUCUCACAAAGUUCGGAACUGGAACAUCAGCAUUCCAAAACUAUUUCAACUGAUCCAGCUAAAGUUUCAACGAGUUCGAAAUUCGAUUGGGAAGAGCUCACUGAUCCAGAUCGAUUCAGUUACGACGUCAAUGAUGAGAUUAAAAGAGGGUCUGACAAUUCUGCAUCUAAACGAAAAAUGACUGAAGAAUUGGAAGAGUUAUCGACCAACUUUGAUAGGAGAAAGUUUGUGAAACAAUCUAACGACUCGAUAAUUAAUAUCGGAGAGACAAAAGGUGAUGUUAAAUUGAGUCAAGACUCUCAGUUAUCAUUUAAAGAUAAUGUUAGUUAUACAUUGAAGACAGCUGACUCGGAAGAUAGUAAAUCAGCCAUUGGAGUUGACGACUCGCAGGAUAUAGAGAGCCCCAAUAUAUUCGAAUGCGAGCAAGAAGAGAAUUUCGUUUUGGAGAAGAAUGUAGAAGUGUUCAAGGAGACCGAGAAAUCAAACCAAGGCUCCGAGCGCAACUUCAAGAUCAUUUCAAAGGAAAGCCGAGACAAGGAAAUGGAGGGAUUUGACAUCAAGUUUGAUCAGCCAAAAAACUUGGAAGGGCUCCAGUACUGUGCUGGUGAGAGCAGUACUGGUGGCCAAGCCGAAGAAAAGGACUCAUCAGACAGGUACAGUCCAUCGAAUGUGAUAGACGCCUUCUCACCAGACAGCAACCGAACAACCGACAACGGACCUGAGGAGAUGGACAUCGCCAACUCCACCUCAAGUCCGUUCCAAGCCGCAAGGGCACCCAGCUUAUCCAACAGUGCCAGUCACGACAACCUAUCCGUCAUGCUUGACAUUCCUCUACCUCCGAGCAACCUCACAGCUGAUGCUCUCUCUUUCUCCAACCCUAUCACUAAAGCUGCAACCCCCUGCCCUGCACCGGUUCCCCCUCCACAACUACCCUCCGUCAAAAUCCCUCUCAACGUGCCCCCAUCAUCUUUCAAGAACGUCUUCAACAUCCUCCCCCAAUCAACUCAACAACCUGCAACUGAUAAAAUCGAAUCGUCUCCUGCGGAAAGUAGUAGCCCUCUAAAGAUAAAACCCGUACGACAACCAACUAAACUCGUACUAGAAAAACAAGCGGUCAAAUUGCGCACAACCAACGUGUUCCACAUGUUCGACGACGACGACGAAGAAGAAGAAAGCACGCCCAAGUCGACAAACAAGAUGCCUUUGUUGGACAACACAUCCGACUCUAGUUUGAAAACGUCCAAUUCAGUUACCAAACCAGCUGAAGUUGUUGAAAAAGUUGUCACCCCUGUGAAGAUGCCUGAUAAACCCGAAGAGGAUCAGUCGUCCACUAGCAAGGACAAAAUCUUGUCCCCCUGGGAGCCCGGCUCUGAUGAGAUGCAGGAAUCUUUCGCUGCUAAGCAGAAAGAUGAAAGUGUGGCUGAAGCUUGUCCAUUGAGUCCCAGUGAAGGUAAACCUCCGUUGAUACCAGUCGAAGAGAUUGCAGCUUCUAUUAAUUAUCAGGGAGGAAAUGUAGGCGCCAGUUUCAAUUUCGACAAGCCGUUUGAACAAUUGAGUGAGGGAAGAGUUGGCGAUGGUGUGGAGGAACAGAAGUUGGAAACCCAAAUAGAAAAACCCGACGACCGUACCAAGGAAAGCGGUGAGAAACGAAGGAGAAGUCGUUCACGCAGUAAGGACAGACGACGUAGGCGAGAUCGCUCCAGUGAACGACAGAGACGGAGAGAGAGCUCGAGAGAUCGGCGAGAUCGUCGUAGGAAAGAAAAGGAAAGUAGAUCAUCGAGGAGAGAUCGGUCCCGGUCCAGAGACAGGUCGCACCGAUCCAGUCGACAGAGGUCUGAUAGGAGGAGGUCGUCCAGAGAGAGGACGUCGGAUGACAGGAGAGAUAGGCGACGGGAUAAUGACGAUUCCCGGCCAAGGAAGAGGGAAGACGAGCCAUAUAGAGUGAGAAAGGAAGAGGGUGAACAAGUGGGGUAUGAUGUGAAUGUGGUGAUCAAACAAGAGAAGGACACUGAACAAUUUGACAACAGUUUAGAUAUGAAAGUGGCAGCUGAUAUGUCUCAACCACCACCCGAGUUCUAUUCUCAGGGCUAUUGUAGGCAGGAUAUGGUAGUAGGCAUGGUGGCAGAAGACGCACAAACUUCGCCCCCAUCACCAUUGGGUUUCAAAAGGAGUGUAGCUGCCGAUUCGACAACAGUAGUAGGUGAUAAUAACGACCUAGUCAAACCGAAAAGACUGAUCCGCUAUUCGCCCGAACUGUCGCCGAAAAGACUAUCACUCGACGAAAGACUGGCGCGUGAGUUGGGCGUCAAGGAAGACUCUGCCCCUCCCCCUCCGCCGCCUCCUCACCCUCUUCCCCAUCAACAACAUCAAAACUUCCACCACUAUCAACACCAACAACAUCUCCAGUAUCCACCACAUCAGCUGCAGAGUUUAAACUACCAACAGCUACAGCAGCAUUUGAGUGUGCCUCCGCCCCCUCCACCUGCCGUCAAUCCGGCACCUGUCGGACUAAUGCAUCAUCAUCAUCACCAUCAUCAGCAGCAGCCGCAGCAUAUUCCGCUGCUAUCGCCUAAUCCGACCGCUGUCAACUGGGAUAAUCCGGAGGCGUUCAUUGGCCAACACAACAUGGCUAGCAUCACCACUCCGUCGCCUGUCAAAAUGGCCGCUAAUUCACCGUUCCUCCAGUUGUCUGGGAGCGUAACGUUUUGCAAGAGGAAAUUUGCUGUCGUCAUCAUAAAGUGUUGUGACGUCAUAUCAUAGCCGACCUCGCUCACUGCAGUUGGAAGUUGACUUCUGUCAUGUGAUGUGAAGGUCAUCAAGAGUCCAAGGUCAUUGAAGCCGCUCAAGCCUAAACAGCCGAAGUCUAGCGUUAAGGCGAUUCUGAUCGAAACGGUAAUGCAGCUAUUUGAAACGACUGCCACAUUAAAAUACUUGUGUCCCUCCUCUUUGAUCCUUCGAAUUAGGAAACGAAUCUGCAACUUGUCAGCUGAUAACUAGGAGGUAAUGUUCU
rnacentral:misc_RNA from 1 species